rnacentral:rRNA from 1 species
UAGCUAGUUGGUGAGGUAACGGCUUACCAAGGCGACGAUCUGUAGCGGGUCUGAGAGGAUGAUCCGCCACACUGGAACUGAGACACGGUCCAGACUCCUACGGGAGGCAGCAGUGGGGAAUUUUGGACAAUGGGGGCAACCCUGAUCCAGCCAUGCCGCGUGAGUGAAGAAGGCCUUCGGGUUGUAAAGCUCUUUCGGCCGGGAAGAAAUCGCAUGGGCCAAUACCCUGUGUGGAUGACGGUACCGGAAUAAGAAGCACCGGCUAACUACGUGCCAGCAGCCGCGGUAAUACGUAGGGUGCGAGCGUUAAUCGGAAUUACUGGGCGUAAAGCGUGCGCAGGCGGUUUUGUAAGACAGGCGUGAAAUCCCCGGGCUCAACCUGGGAACUGCGUUUGUGACUGCAAGGCUAGAGUACGGCAGAGGGGGGUGGAAUUCCACGUGUAGCAGUGAAAUGCGUAGAGAUGUGGAGGAACACCAAUGGCGAAGGCAGCCCCCUGGGUCGAUACUGACGCUCAUGCACGAAAGCGUGGGUAGCAAACAGGAUUAGAUACCCUGGUAGUCCACGCCCUAAACUAUGUCAACUAGGUGUUGGGUGGGUAAAACCAUUUAGUACCGUAGCUAACGCGUGAAGUUGACCGCCUGGGGAGUACGGCCGCAAGGUUAAAACUCAAAGGAAUUGACGGGGACCCGCACAAGCGGUGGAUGAUGUGGAUUAAUUCGAUGCAACGCGAAAAACCUUACCUACCCUUGACAUGCCAGGAACUUGCCAGAGAUGGCUUGGUGCCCGAAAGGGAGCCUGGACACAGGUGCUGCAUGGCUGUCGUCAGCUCGUGUCGUGAGAUGUUGGGUUAAGUCCCGCAACGAGCGCAACCCUUGUCGUUAAUUGCCAUCAUUUAGUUGGGCACUUUAGCGAGACUGCCGGUGACAAACCGGAGGAAGGUGGGGAUGACGUCAAGUCCUCAUGGCCCUUAUGGGUAGGGCUUCACACGUCAUACAAUGGUCGGUACAGAGGGUCGCCAAGCCGCGAGGUGGAGCCAAUCCCAGAAAGCCGAUCGUAGUCCGGAUUGCAGGCUGCAACUCGCCUGCAUGAAGUCGGAAUCGCUAGUAAUCGUGGAUCAGCAUGUCACGGUGAAUACGUUCCCGGGUCUUGUACACACCGCCCGUUACACCAUGGGAGCGGGUUCCGCCAGAAGUAGGUAGCCUAACCGCAAGGAGGGCGCUUACCACGGCGGGGUUCGUGACUGGGGUGAAGUCGUAACAAGGUAGCCGUAGGGGAACCUGCGGCUG